UUAGAAAUGCAUUGAUAUUACUCCGAAAACCUAAGGGAGAGUUCUGUCUCCUCUACCACAUGUCAGAGAGGCUCACAUAUUCUGGCUGGGGGUGGAGGUUGUUGAUAACGUAGAUCAAUGCUAUGGCUGUAAAAUGUAGACCCCACGAUAUAAUGAAAUUACAAAAUAUUCAUGAAAGUGACUAUCUGUCAUCAGCUAGUAAUAGAUACUGUGCUCUCUUUCCACCACCUCCUCACUCCUUUCUUCCAGAUUGGCAUGACCCCACCCUGCAAUGACUGAGUUAUAUUCCCUCUCUUAAUUCACAUCAGUUAUAAUCUUCAAUGUCUCAGAAUGUGAGCAUGUUGAGACAAUAAUUGAGGUCACUAAGUCAAAAGAAGAGCAUCAGCAAGAUAGAACUUAAACCACUACAACCGAUACCGUCAAGGAGAAGAGAGUAGGGCAGGCACGGAGAGAAGACCAUGUGAAGAUGACAGGGAGAAGACAGACACUAACACCCUGAGAGGAGAGACAUCAACCCUGCUGACAUCUUAAUCUUGGAUUUCUGGCCUCCAGGUGUUACAUCCUGGUUGGCUCCUUCAUGCUUCUGUGCCAGCAGAAUUAAGUCUUCCUGCACUGUAUUCCUUUAUCAUCCAGCCAAAAAGGAGACACUCCCACAAGACAGAGGAGACUCUACUUGGUUUCAAUUGAAGAAGCCCUUAAGGACGAUCAAGACGAGAUUAAUGGUGAUUGCAUCUCCAGAGCAUGUUUGUUCCAUAACGAAGUUGGCACCACCUCAACUGCAGUUCAUUGUCAAGGUGAGCAAGAUUCUCUCUACAAGUAACAAGUUAUCUA